rnacentral:misc_RNA from 1 species
GCACAUUUAGGGGCAUUCGCCGGGAGCAUCAGAUAGUUUGGUCCAAGACGGUGCCUCUGAGUAUCAGAAUAAGAGAAAAUCCUAGUCUGCAGCAGCUUAUCAUCAGAGUAAUAAAUUCCAGGUACCACAAUUGCAGGGCAGAAGGCAAGCUGCUCGUUCUCCGCAAAGAAGUUAUCAAUGUUUUUGUUCAGGACCAGGCGCCCAACUGGCUGGAGAGGCAAAAUGUCUUCCGGCCAGGUCUUGGUGACAUCGAGUGGAUCAAAAUCAAACCUGUCCUCGUAGUCAGGAUCUAUAGUUUGAAUGAAAAGCUUCCACUCUGGAUAACUCCCAGCAGCAAUAGAAUCAUAAAGAUCCUUGGUGGCAUGGCUGUGGUUACUUCCCCCGACAGUAACAGCCUCAUCAUCCAAAAGAUUUUUCACCCCACAUGUUGGUCUCCAGUGGAACUUAACAUAAUGAGCUUUACCUUCCUUGUUAAUUAGGGUGUAAGUGUUGACACCAGAACCAUCCAUGUGCCUAUAAUUCAGGGGAAUGCCAACAUCAUCAAACAGAAAGGUAAACAUGUGUAGGCUUUCCGGAUGGUGAGAAAAGAAGUCAAGG